AGAGUUUGAUCAUGGCUCAGGAUGAACGCUGGCGGCGUGCUUUAGAUAUGCAAGUCAUGGGGGUCCGACGCAAGUCGGGCAACCGGCGGACGGGUGAGUAAUGCGUGGGAAUCUACCUCAAAGUUGGACAUAGCCCCGCGAAAGCGGGGGUAAUUUCCAAUGUGAUCCGGCUUUGCCGGAUCAAAGCCGCAAGGCGCUUUGAGAUGAGCCCGCGUCCUAUCAGCUAGUUGGUGGGGUAAUGGCCUACCAAGGCGACGACGGGUAGCUGGUCUGAGAGGAUGGUCAGCCACAAUGGCACUGAGACACGGGCCAUACACCUACGGGUGGCGCAGUCGGGAAUUUUGGACAAUGGGCGAAAGCCUGAUCCAGCGACGCCGCGUGGAGGAUUGAAGGCCUUCGGGUCGUAAACUCCUUUUGCAGCAGAAGAUUAUGACGGUAUGCUGCGAAUAAGCACUUGCUAACUACGUGCCAGAAGCCUCGGUAAUGCGUAGAGUGCAAGCGUUAUCCGGAUUUACUGGGCGUAAAGAGUUGCGUAGGCGGCUCGACGCAUUCUGUUUGAAAUGCCUCGACUCAAUCGAGGAUUUGGACAGAAGAUGGUCGAGCUAGAGGGAAAGAGAGGGUGCUGGAACCAAUUGUGGAGCAGUGAAAUGCGUUGAUAUGAUUGGGAACACCAAAGGCGUAGGCAGGCACCUAACUUUCUCCUGACGCUGAGGCACGAAAGCUAGGGGAGCGAAGCAGAUUAGAGACCUGCGUAGUCCUAGCCGUAAACAAUCCCUGCUAGAUAGUCUGAUGUAUUUUGGACUGUCGUAGCUAACGCGUUAAGCCAGGGCGCCUGGGGAGUACGAGCGCAAGCUUAAAACUCAAAGGAAUUGACGGGGACCCGCACAAGCAGUGGAGCGUGUGGUUUAAUUCGAUACAAAGCGAAAAACCUCACCAGGGCUUGACAUGCACCUGCAAGUCCGGUGAAAGCCGGAUGAUCUUUCGAGGGUGGUGCACAGAUGCUGCAUGGCUGUCGUCAGCUCGUGGCGUGAGCUGUACCCUUAAGUGGGACAACGAGCGCAACCCUCACUGUAUGUUGAAUAAUUCAUACGGAACAGCCCCGAUAUUGUCGGGGAGGAAGGCGAGGAUGACGUCAAGUCAGCACGGUUCUUACGCCCUGGGCUACACACACCCUACAAUGGCGAAAAACAACGGGCUGCAAGCCGGUAACGGUAAGCGAAUCCCUGAAAUUUCGCCUCAGUUCAGAUCGAGGUCUGCAAUUCGACCUCGUGAAGUCGGAAUUGCUAGUAAUCGCGGAUCAGCAGGCCGCGGUGAAUACGUUCUCGGGUCUUGUACACACCGCCCGUCAAGGCAGCAAAGUCGGGGGCACCCGAAUCCCGAUUGUAUCGGGAGAAGGUGAAACUGGCGAUGAGGCUUAAGUCGUAACAAGGUA
rnacentral:rRNA from 1 species